UACGGGGAGUGCAAGCGUUGUUCGGAAUCAUUGGGCGUAAAGCGCGUGUAGGCGGCUUGGUAAGUUCGGUGUGAAAGCCCUCGGCUCAACCGAGGAAGUGCAUCGGAUACUGCCAGGCUUGAGUGCGGGAGGGGAGAGCGGAAUUCCCAGUGUAGAGGUGAAAUUCGUAGAUAUUGGGAGGAACACCAGUAGCGAAGGCGGCUCUCUGGACCGACACUGACGCUGAGACGCGAAAGCGUGGGUAGCAAAC
rnacentral:rRNA from 1 species